rnacentral:rRNA from 1 species
GAUGAACGCUAGCGGCAGGCCUAAUACAUGCAAGUCGAACGGUAACAUGAGUAGCGAUACUUGAUGACGAGUGGCGCACGGGUGCGUAACACGUAUGUAAUCUUCCCACAACUGGGGGAUGGCCCGGAGAAAUCCGGAUUAAUACCCCAUAACCCAGCGAGGUGGCAUCACCUUUCUGGUAAAUCUCCGGAGGUUGUGGAUGAACAUGCGUCCGAUUAGCUAGUUGGCGGGGUAACGGCCCACCAAGGCUACGAUCGGUAGGGGUACUGGGAGGUUAAACCCCCAACCGGGUAAUGAGACACGGACCAGACUCCUACGGGAGGCAGCAGUAAGGAAUAUUGGACAAUGGAGGCAACUCUGAUCCAGCCAUGCCGCGUGAAGGAUGAAGGCGCUAUGCGUUGUAAACUUCUUUUGAACGGGAAAAAACCCCUUUACGUGUAAAGGGUUGAUUGUACCGUUAGAAUAAGGGUCGGCUAACUCCGUGCCAGCAGCCGCCGUAACAC